UACGUAGGGGCCGAGCGUUGUCCGGAUUCAUUGGGCGUAAAGAGCGUGUAGGCGGCUCGCUAAGUCUUGCGUGAAAUCUCGGGGCUCAACCCCGAGCGGUCGUGAGAAACUGGCGGGCUAGAGUGCGGGAGAGGAGAGUGGAAUUCCUGGUGUAGCGGUGAAAUGCGCAGAUAUCAGGAAGAACACCCGUGGCGAAGGCGGCUCUCUGGAACGCAACUGACGCUGAGACGCGAAAGCGUGGGGAGCAAACAGG
rnacentral:rRNA from 1 species